AGCAAACAAUUGGUGGACAAGGGUUUUUAGACACAGGGAUAUUUUAGUAAUUUGAUAUUUACAUUUAUAUUUCUUUAAGCCCGUGCCUGCUGAUCAGUUUUCAUUUUUCAACGCCAAAAGAUCGAGAAGCAAAAAAUGGCGAGUUUAAUGGACCCAAUUUCGAUACUGAUGAAUGUAAUUCUAAGAAAGAGCAUGUAUGUGUAUCGGGAAUCCGCUCUCUUGUUUAUGCAAUUCUUUCCAGUUUUGGUGUCAACAAUCCGAUUUUCCCGUUUCAUUUUCAGUCGUAAUACCGCCGUUUCAGGCAGGUACUACCACUCUCCCAGGUCAUCCAUGGUGGCUCGACAUGAUCGGUAGUCCUACAAAAUUCACGGUGAAGGAAAAAAAUCUGGCCAUAUCACUUUGGGAGCUGUUCUCUUAUUCUAGAAGGUGACUCCUUGCAAUCAACUCACCUCAUCUUACCUCAGAAUGGGCUUCAGCCCCAUGUUCAUGAACGUGAUCAUGUCGACAUCAACUAGCAGCUCCUCUCUUUUACAACUUAGAUUGUAUUGAAAAAUUCUAGAUAUGUGAAUUUCUGUGCACAAUUACAUUACCAUAUCGCUAAAUAGGCUGCUUCAAACCGUGUUAUUCCCUGAUGUAAUCUUUUCUUAGAAGUUAAGUUAGAGACCAAUAAAGACUAAA